rnacentral:lncRNA from 1 species
CCUACACCCAUAUCUUUUAUGCACAGUAUAUCUUUGACUCUUCCAUUUGCUUCCCUUUGUAUUUUAACACAGUGGCAUAUACAGUCAAGACGGACGAUCAUACAAAGCGCCUUAAGAAAUGUCUCAUUAUGAAACGUCUGCUGAGAUGCCGUGUCCACAGUGAGCAGCUUGUGGCCAACGUGUGAAUGGGGCAGGACGGGAACAUUCCAAUUGUUCAGCCGCUCUCCACCCAGUGUAUUUAUGAAGCAAUUAUUUCCAAACUUGACAUCCUUCAAGAGCAGACAAGCUGGGGAAAGGACAAGAGAUGAUGGAGUCCUCCGAGUUCACAAGACCCCGACAACCACCCAGGGCGGUCUUGACCAUCCUGGGCAACCCCCAAGUGCUACCUGUUGCCUUUCUCCAAGCUGGAUCAUACGGACACCCCCAUGUAUGACCUCUUCAUCUCAAUAUGCGGCACGUUUCGACAUCCCAGAU